ACCGACCAUUCCCCGCAGCCAUAUUGAUUUGUUUAAAUUUUAUUUUUAAAGAGCUCCUGCAAGACUCACAGCAUCUGCGUUUCCUCCCCAUAACCCUAGCCACAGUAAUUCUUCUCCCCUAAAGGACCACCCACUGGAUUCCAGCAAGGCAUACGGAUUGAGGUGACUUUGCCUACCAGCGAAGGAGCUGGUAUACUUCCAUGGUUCUGGAGUGCAUCCUCCACGCUGCGCUGGUUGUACUUCCCCAUAUAUUCGUGCAUCUCCCCAUAGUUGUUCCGAAUAUUUUUCUCGGUGCUCCCGUUGGGAACAGUGCCAAAUCUCAGAGGGCUUGGAAUUCACCUAGGAAGGCAGAAGGUGAAACAGUUCCAUUGCUACGAGACACCAUGACACUGAUUCCGGUCUCAACAAAGGGUACAGAGAAAUCUAUGACUUCAGCUCUCUCCGCGUUGAUGGUCAGGGAUCCAAUUGCCAUGUCAGCUCGCUUGUAAUACACCUGAAACAAGAGUGAGAGAAAAAGAGAGCGAGAUGGAGUGCUGAAAGCCAGCAUCCCUGGUUUUCUGAGUGGGAGGGAUGGAGUGAGUG